rnacentral:ncRNA from 2 species
UUCUUAUCAAGAGAGGUGGAGGGACUGGCCCGUUGAAGCCCGGCAACCGGUAUUUUUAUAAUACACGGUGCCAAUUCCAGCGGAUAUAAAUCCGGGAGAUAAGGA